GACGAACGCUAGCGACGUGCUUAACACAUGCAAGUCGAACGGAAAGGCCCUGCUUUUGUUGGGUGCUCGAGUGGCGAACGGGUGAGUAACACGGGAGUGACCUGCCCUUGACUUUGGGAUAACGUCAGGAAACUGGGGCUAAUACCGGAUAGGAGCUCCUGCUGCAUGGUGGGGGUUGGAAAGUUUCGGCGGUUGGGGAUGGACUCGCGGCGUAUCAGCUUGUUGGUGGGGUAGUGGCUUACCAAGGCUUUGACGGGUAGCCGGCCUGAGAGGGUGACCGGCCACAUUGGGACUGAGAUACGGCCCAGACUCCUACGGGAGGCAGCAGUGGGGAAUAUUGCACAAUGGGCGGAAGCCUGAUGCAGCAACGCCGCGUGCUGGAUGACGGCCUUCGGGUUGUAAACCGCUUUCGCCUGUGACGAAGCGUGAGUGACGGUAAUGGGUAAAGAAGCACCGGCUAACUACGUG
rnacentral:rRNA from 1 species